rnacentral:rRNA from 1 species
AACGAACGCUGGCGGCAUGCCUAACACAUGCAAGUCGAACGAGACCUUCGGGUCUAGUGGCGCACGGGUGCGUAACGCGUGGGAACCUGCCCUUAGGGUCGGAAUAACUCCCCGAAAGGGGUGCUAAUACCGGAUAAUGUCUUCGGACCAAAGAUUUAUCGCCUUUGGAUGGGCCCGCGUUGGAUUAGCUAGUUGGUAGGGUAAAAGCCUAUCAAGGCGACGAUCAAUAGCUGGUCUGAGAGGAUGAUCAGCCACACUGGGACUGAGACACGGCCCAGACUCCUACGCGAGGCAGCAGUGGGGAAUAUUGGACAAUGGGCGAAAGGCUGAUCCAGCAAUGCCGCGUGAGUGAUGAAGGCCGUAGGGUUGUAAAGCUCUUUUACCCGGGAUGAUAAUGACAGUACCGAGAGAAUAAGCUCCGGCUAACUCCGUG